rnacentral:RNase_P_RNA from 1 species
AUUGCAAGCUGUCUUAUCGCCUCUGGUUUUCCAGGGGAGGAAAGUCCGGGCAACACAGAGCACCGUACCUGUGGAAACACAGGGUUCCGAUUGGUAAUGGAUCGGAAACAGAAAGUGCCACAGAAAAAAUGUAGCCUUAGUUGAGUAGUUCUGCUACUCUUCAGAGGUCAUAGUGAAAAGGCGAGGUAAGAGCUCACCGUUUUUGGUAGUAAUACCAGAAUGCAUGGUAAACCUUUCGGGUUGUAAGGCCACAUACAUUUUUGCCUCUCGUCCGAAGAAAUUCUGGAAGAGAAUAAGGGCUGCUCGUCCGAAAUGUUGUUGUUCGACAACAACAGGUGAAAAGGGGUAGGCUGCGUUAGAUAAAUGAUAGGAGUUCCGGUGGAUUUAUUCACUGGUUUACAGAACCCGGCUUAUAGGCUUGCAAUUUUA